rnacentral:rRNA from 1 species
AGGGUUUGAUCAUGGCUCAGAUUGAACGCUGGCGGUAGGCUUAACACAUGCAAGUCGAGCGAGGUACUUGUACCUAGCGGCAGACGGGUGCGUAACAUGUGGGAAUCUGCCUUUUGGUUCGGAACAACAUGGGGAAACCUGUGCUAAUACCGGAUAAGUCCUUACGGAGAAAGAUUUAUCGCCGAAAGAUGAGCCCGCACUAGAUUAGCUUGUUGGUAAGGUAAAAGCUUACCAAGGCUACGAUCUAUAGCUGAUUUGAGAGGAUGAUCAGCCACACUGGGACUGAGACACUGCCCAGACUCCUACGGGAGGCAGCAGUGGGGAAUCUUGCACAAUGGAGGAAACUCUGAUGCAGCGAUGCCGCGUGAGUGAAGAAGGCCUUUGGGUUGUAAAGCUCUUUUGUCAGGAAAGAUAAUGACUGUACCUGAAGAAUAAGGUCCGGCUAACUUCGUGCCAGCCGCCGCGGUAAUAC